GUGUCAGCCGCCGCGGUAAUACGGAGGGUGCAAGCGUUAUCCGGAUUCACUGGGUUUAAAGGGUGCGUAGGAGGGCAGGUAAGUCAGUGGUGAAAUCUCCAAGCUUAACUUGGAAACUGCCGUUGAUACUAUCUGUCUUGAAUAUUGUGGAGGUGAGCGGAAUAUGUCAUGUAGCGGUGAAAUGCUUAGAUAUGACAUAGAACACCAAUUGCGAAGGCAGCUCACUACACAAUCAUUGACUCUGAGGCACGAAAGCGUGGGGAUCAAACAGGAUUAGAAACCCCCGUAGUCC
rnacentral:rRNA from 1 species